AGUCAUUACUUAAGUUGCCUUCAGAAACUCAAAGCACAUCACGAUGUGUGUGAGAACCUCUACGAGAAGGCGCACACAAAAAGGUUAAACGAUGAGAGAGAGAGAGAGGACCUUGUUUUUCCACCAUAGCCUGAAUACAACACUGACCAAAGAAAUGCUUGGGUACAACACCGAUUGUUCAAUUUUCAGCAUCGACCUCAGCGAAGAUGACUAUGUCCCAGCAUCAUCAGAGGACAGUUCAUCUGAAUCAUCAGAACGAAGUAGUCAGAAGCGACACCGUGUGAAAGAACAUUCAAAACUCCACAAACUGAGACCAAAGACUUCAUUAGAAUAAAAAAACAGCUCAAAUGGGUUAUCAGGAGCCAAGAUAAAGAAGCGAGGCAGGGAAGCAGGCUUGCAUUCCAGAGAAGAGGAUUCCGAUGAACCAAGACUCAAAACAGGGACACAUUACAAGAGGAGUGACAAGAGAAGCUUAAGUUCUAGCAAGGAAGAAGAUUCUGUUGAAUCAAGACACAAAACAAAGACGAGAUACAAAAGGAGUAACAAGAGAGGCUCAGGUUCUAGUGAAGAAGAGGAUUCAGGUGAAUCAAGACACACAACAACGAAACGAUACAAAAGGAGUGACAAGAGGGGCUCAAGUUCUCGAGUAGAAGGUGAAUCAGGUGAAUCAAGACACAAAACAAAGAAAUGAUACAAAAGGAGUGACGAGAGGCUCAAGUUCUCGAGUAGAAGGUGAAUCAGAUGACUCUGCAUCAGUCAAAAAGAAAAAUAGAAACACUUACACAAGAUGUAAAAAAUCUACUGAUAAUGCACUGUCAGUUAAGAGGAGUGAUUCUCUUGUUGUCACUAAUGUUCUAAAAAUAGAUGGGUCUAAGAAAUACAACCAAAAGAAAAAUUACUGUAUUUUCUGCUGGGAACCCCAAUCAAAAAUUGCACGCCAUCUGGAACGUAAACAUUGGGAUAAAAUGGAAGUCGCUAGUGCAAUGAUGUAUGCAAAGAACUCUAAAGAAAGGAGAAAUCAGCUGGAUCUCCUUCGCAAGCAAGGAAAUCGGGCACACAACAUUACAGCACUCACAAAAGGAAAAGGGAUACUGGUAUCUUGUAGACAACAAAGUGAUGGCAAGAGUAGUCCAAAGGACUAUGAGCACUGUUUUGCAUGCUUUGGGUACUUCAAACGCAAGACUUUGUGGAGGCACGCAAAACAGUGUGCACUUGCUCAAAAUCUUCUCAGAACAUUACCUGGAAAAACAAGACUACAGGCUCUCUGUGCUGCGGCUCAACCUGCAUCUUAAGAUGUGAACAUGAAGGUAUGGACCCUCGUGAAUGACAUGACUCAAGAUGAAAUUGCUCAUGCUCCAGAGCAUGCAACAAGACAAAUAUAUGAUGAAGGUUGGAGAAAAGAUGUACAACAGUCAACGUGAAACUGCCUCUCAACAUGACAAGGUUUGGCAAAUUAUGCGAGGACUGGGGAGACUGUUGAUCCUAGGAAGGAAGGUGACCCCUCUGAAAAAGAUGGAGGAUUAUAUCAAUCCACAACACUUUCAUCAUGUUGUUUGAGCUGUCAAAGAAGCAACUGGAUUUGAUGAAAAGAGGAACAAGUUUGAAAAACCCACCCUAGCCACAAAGCUAGGGCAAAGCAUCCAGAGAGUAGCAGACAUCAUGGUGGCUGAAGCACUUUUAUCCCAGAACAAUGAAAAAAAGCAGGUUGUCCAAGAGUUUAGACGCAUGUACAGUCUUACCUGGAAUGAGAUGAUCUCUUCCGCUGCAUACCGUACACUGGAGGAGAAGAAAUGGAACAAACCCAAGCUCGUUCCAUUAGCAGAAGAUGUGAAAAAAAUGCACAUGUACAUGACAGACAAGCAGAAACAAUACCAUGGGUAGUUGUUUGAUGAGAAAACCUCAAAGAAUUGGAGCAAUCUUGCUAAAGUAAUACUGGCAUAGAUAAUCCUUUUCAACCGAAGACGAGAAGGCGAGGUCUCAAAGAUGCAUUUGGAAGCAUUUCUCAGCAGGGACAACUCCCCAUUUAAUGAAGAUACUGGUGAAGCACUGACGGAGUUGGAGAAAAGGCUCUGCCAGCAUUUCGAACGUGUGGAAAUUCGAGGGAAGCAUGGCAGGAAGGUGCCCAUCAUCCUUACUCCAGCAAUGGUGCAAUCUCUGGAGCUACUUGUGGAGGAGAGAAGCUCAUGUGGAGUGGGUUAAAACCUCUACUUAUUUGCAAGACCAGGGUUUGAAACAAGGCUUAGGGGGUCUGACUGCAUCCGUGAGUUGGCUAAAAACUGGGGGGCCCAAAAACCUGAAGCUCUGUCAUCCACAAAGCUGAGAAAACAAGUGGCCACUCUGUCAAGAGUACUGAAUCUAAAUGACACUGAGCAAGAUCUUUUGGCAGACUUUCUGGGACAUGACAUAAGAGUACACAGGAAGUUCUAUCGCCUCCCCUAAGGGACUUUGCAGUUGGCAAAGAUCAGUAAGGUAUUGAUGGCCUGUGAACAAGGCAGACUGGCCGAAUUCAAGGGGAAAAGUCUGGACCAAAUCUCGAUCAGCCCCUAAGACAAAUUUGAGGUUAUGGAAGAAAGCUCAGGGGAGUCAUCUGCAGAUGAAGAUCAUCCAGCUUCUUCAGCAGGAGAGGAAUUUGUUACUGAAGACGAGCAGAGCACUUCAAAGCAGCAGCCUGGACAAAAGUGAGUCUCGGGAGGAGGAGCUUCAGUGACUGGAGACAAACGGGGUACUUCUAAGCAGCAGCCUGUAAAGAAACAAAGCUCCGGAGGUGCUAAAAAGGCAAAUGAAAAUGGUCAACAGAGGAGGUGAAUGCAGUUGAACAGUCUCUGAUGGACUUCAUUCGUAUGGGGAAGACACCUGGAAAACAGGAUUGUGAGAGGUGCAUCGCUGCUUCCCCUCAAGCCCUAGCUGAGAGGGACUGGAGAGGUGUAAAAUUCUAUGUUCACAAUAGAAUAGUUUCAGAUCAGAGGUUGUAGGAACACAAUAGUCACAUCAGAUACAUCUAGUUCUGACGUAUUAUCUAGUUCUGACGUAUGGAAUUGAAAUUGAUAACCUAAAAGU